CUCGAUUAAAGACUACACCCCCGUACACUCUCUCCAUAGCUCAACCUCCAUAGCUGCUCCAUAGCUUCUUCUUCAUCUCAAAAAACGCGACUUGUAAGCAUAAAAAAGGUUUGUGAAUCCAUAGCUCCACCUCCAUAGCUUCUUCUUCAUCUCAAAAACUUGACUGGUAAGCAUAAAAAAGGGUUUAGGAAACGUCGGAGGUUAUUGUUUCGUCUGCGAAGACUUGCCAUUACGGGCUGGCUCCUCGACAAUUCACUUCAAAAACACCUGCAAAUGCGGAAGAAAAUUUCAUAAGUGUGUUAAUCGUGAUAAAUCAUGCGGUUAUUGGAAAUGGGAUGAUGAAGAUUUUCCCGAUGGUGUAGUUAUUGCAAUUAACCAACUACGAUUAAAAUUGGAAGCGGCAAAAGGAUCGAUCAAUGUUUUGAACAUGACGUUGAAUCAAGUGAAGGUCCAAAGGGAUGGUUUGAAGGAUAAAGUGGAAGCUUGGGAGGCCAUCAAAAACUUUGAAGUUAAUAAAGCUAUGAAGUUGGAAGAGAAGGUAUUGAAGAUGAAGAUGUGUAUUAUAAUGUUAUGUGCCUUAAUUGUUGGAUUUGCAUUUGCGGCGAUGAAAAAAUGAAGCUCAUUAUUGUGUUUGUAUUUUAGUUUGAAGGUAUAUUAAGAAUGUUUAGUGUGACUAAAUUGAAGUUUAGUUUUGAAUGUGUAAUGUGCAUCUUGGAUAGUGUUGAAUGAAAUUCAUUGAUCUUUAAUUUCAA